rnacentral:rRNA from 1 species
UGGGGAAUAUUGGACAAUGGGCGAAAGCCUGAUCCAGCCAUGCCGCGUGAGUGAUGAAGGCCCUAGGGUUGUAAAGCUCUUUUACCCGGGAAGAUAAUGACUGUACCAGGAGAAUAAGCCCCGGCUAACUUCGUG